rnacentral:rRNA from 1 species
AAUAGGCUAAUUAAGAGCGUAAGGGGGAUACCUUGGCUCUCAGAGGCGAUGAAGGACGUGAUAAGCUGCGAUAAGUUACGGGGAAUGGCACAGACAUUUUGAUCCGUAAAUUUCCGAAUGGGGCAACCCGGCAUAUUGAAGAUAUGUCACACUGUAAAGUGAGCAAACCUGGUGAACUGAAACAUCUAAGUAACCAGAGGAAUAGAAAACAAAAGUGAUUCCGCUAGUAGUGGCGAGCGAACGCGGAAUAGCCCAAACCUAAAUUGUUACGGCAAUUUAGGGUUGUAGGACCUCAACAUUUAAUGCUAUAGAACUAGAAUUUACUGGAAA